GAUGAACGCUGGCGGUAUGCUUAACACAUGCAAGUCGAACGGACUCUUCGGAGUUAGUGGCGGACGGGUGAGUAACGCGUGAGAAUCUGGCUUUGGGUUCGGGACAACCACUGGAAACGGUGGCUAAUACCGGAUGUGCCGAGAGGUAAAAGAGAAAUUGCCUGAAGAUGAGCUCGCGUCUGAUUAGCUAGUUGGUGAGGUAAAGGCUCACCAAGGCAGCGAUCAGUAGCUGGUCUGAGAGGAUGACCAGCCACACUGGGACUGAGACACGGCCCAGACACCUACGGGAGGCAGCAGUGGGGCAUUUUCCGCAAUGGGCGAAAGCCUGACGGAGCACUACCGCGUGAGGGAAGAAGGCUCUUGGGUUGUAAACCUCUUUUCUUAGGGAAGAACAUAAUGACGGUACCUAAGGAAUCAGCAUCGGCUAACUCCGUG
rnacentral:rRNA from 1 species